CGCUGGUCUUGUAAACCAGUAAUGAAAAAAACCUAUUUUCUCAGGACA
rnacentral:tRNA from 1 species